UCAUAGUUAAGAUAAAGAGAAAGUUUUCAAAAAAAUAUUUUUCUUUUUAACCGGAUUUAUAUGUAUAAGUUUUAUUUUUUCUUAUUCUAAAAUUAGGUGGCUAAAAUACUUAUAAGUGUAUUUAGAUUUUUAUUAAAACAAAGAAAUAAAAAGAGGACCAACCAAAAAGUUCCACCUCAUAAGAUUCUUUCCAACAAACUAAUUCCUCCCACUCCAUUUUACAAUACACGUUUUCAUACACCUCACAUAUACACCAUCACAGCUUGAGCAUAUUCCAUACGUAGGACCCACUUGAAUUUUUGUUGCUCACUACUCCACAAUAUAUACAUACACAUCACACAAAAAGACAAGGACAAAAACAGAUUUUAAAUGGAAGGGGCAGACGUUUUUUCGGAAAGAUAAUAGGGGGUGGGGCCCACACAAUUAAAAAAAAAAAGAAAAAUGAAAAAAAGAGGGGACAGGCACGUGAUUGAGGGGGCAUGAAUGAUAUAAAAACACACACACACACACAUAUAAGAAAAGGGACGGAGAAUAUUAUAGAAUAGUAGGGAGAGAGAAACGGAUAGAAAAGAAAAAAAAAGAAUAUAGAGAGAGAAGGUGACAGACGGAUCAAAAGAAAAAAAAAAUAUACUCAAAUCAUCAUCUUCUUCAUUACAAUCACCAUACCUAAACCACCGCAACCCACCGCCACCUCCACUAUUUCUUCACCAGAAAACCCAUAAAAACCAGCCCUGUUCCAUUUGUAAACAAGAAAAAAAAAAGUAUCAUCUUCUUCAUUUUUUUAAUCACCCAUUAAACCACCAAAUCACCUCAUCUCCACUGUUCCAUCAACCAACACCCAUAACCACCCUAUAACCUUAAACCCGCCGGAAACCACCUUUAGCCCAUCUCACCCAUACCAUUAAACCGCCGCCACCCUCAACGAACCACUGUUAAAAUACACCAAAAACAGUCAACAAUCAACCGUCAGCUCUUCGUCUCUAUUUUUAGUUUGAUUUUUCGGUAAGAAUUUUUGGGUUGUGUUCGGGACUAUCGAUGUUGGAUUCGACAAUAGGCUGCUGUUUUGGGUUAAUCGUGGGUUCAAGUUCGAGUUUUUCGUUGGUUUACGAUUUCCGAUCAGGCACUGUUUUAUUCGAAGUUCGAAUUUCAGAUUCGUUGGUUUAACAUUAGGGAAACGGAGAAGAGCAGGUUUUUGAUACUUCAGGUGCUUAAGAAGGACUUGCUGUUGUUGCUGACUUGGUGAGCCCACAUGUUCAUUCGUGGGACACCCCUUAGCAUAUUCAUUUAUUAUACUAGUUUUAGCGGGCUGCGUCCCGAUGUGUCAGAUAUUACUCUUUAUCUUAGAAGCUCCAUAGCAUACAUUCUUGUGGGUAGAUAUUGAGUUUUGUAUAACUCUUGGGCAUGUGACAUGCUUGAUUAAGGUUUAUGUUAUUAAAGACUUCCGCUGAUUUAAUUCA